rnacentral:rRNA from 1 species
GAUGAACGCUAGCGACAGGCCUAACACAUGCAAGUCGAGGGGCAGCGGGGAGGUAGCAAUACCUUUGCCGGCGACCGGCGCACGGGUGAGUAACACGUAUGCAAUCCACCUGUAACAGGGGGAUAACCCGGAGAAAUCCGGACUAAUACCCCAUAAUAUGGGCGCUCCGCAUGGAGAGUCCAUUAAAGAGAGCAAUCUUGGUUACAGACGAGCAUGCGCUCCAUUAGCCAGUUGGCGGGGUAACGGCCCACCAAGGCGACGAUGGAUAGGGGUUCUGAGAGGAAGGUCCCCCACAUUGGAACUGAGACACGGUCCAAAACUCCUACGGGAGGCAGCAGUGAGGAAUAUUGGUCAAUGGACGAGAGUCUGAACCAGCCAAGUAGCGUGAAGGAUGAAGGUUCUAUGGAUUGUAAACUUCUUUUAUACGGGAAUAAACGGAUCCACGUGUGGAUUUUUGCAUGUACCGUAUGAAUAAGGAUCGGCUAACUCCGUGCCAGCAGCCGCGG